GACAUAAAAGCCAGAUACUUCUCAAAGCCUGAGCAUAUUUGUCCAGACGUUUCAUGAUCAGCUGUUUUAGGGAGCGACAUCAUUUGUGUCUUCUAUCGUUAGUUAGACACAGAAAACAUUGUCAAUGGCGUCAGAAAACGAUGGGGAAAUGAGCGGGGACUCUAUGUGUAAGAUACUGAAAGAAGAAGGACUUGGAAAGUGGGACGAAACAUUUAGAAAAAUGUCUGUUAUCAAGCUGCGGGAGCUCAAUGAUGGUGUUCUGACUGAGAUGGGCAUAGAUCCACUUGAGGAUCGUCAGAAAAUCUUGGACAGUAUCUUGAAGAUCUGGCCAGCAGCUCACAAGGUGUUUAAUGAUCCAAUCCACGGACAUAUGGAGUUGCACCCUGUUCUUGUCAAAAUCAUUGACAUGCCUCAGUUCCAGAGAUUAAGAUACAUCAAGCAGCUGGGGGCGGGCUAUUUUGUUUAUCCUGGAGCCUCCCACAACCGCUUUGAACACUCAAUUGGGGUGGGGCACUUAGCAGGUGAGCUUGUGAAAGCUCUGAAGGAAAAGCAGCCAGAUCUCAACAUCAAUGACAGAGACAUCCUUUGUGUUCAGAUCGCUGGGCUAUGCCAUGACCUGGGACAUGGACCCUUUUCCCAUCUGUUUGAUCAAAUGUUCAUCCCCAAAGCAACACGCCCAUCUGGUUCACUAGGUGAAAAAAUGAGAACCUGGAAGCAUGAGGACGCCUCUGAAGAAAUGUUCGACCACCUGGUGGAAUCCAAUGGCUAUCUGCCGGGGAUGAUGGAGGCAUAUGGCCUGAAGCUGUCCGAAGACUUGGACUUCAUCAAGGAGAUGAUUAAACUCCCGGAAGCAAAAAAGAAAUAUAAAGGCCGUCCAGAGGAGAAGUCCUUCCUCUAUGAGAUUGUGGCCAACAAAAGAAACGGCAUUGAUGUGGACAAGUUUGACUACUUUGCCAGGGACUGCCACCACCUGGGCAUCAAGAACAACUUUGACCAUGGCCGCUUCAUAAAGUUUGCCAGGGUGUGUGACGUGGACGAGCAGAAGGGGGACGGGCAGAAGGUGAAAGGGCAGAAGCACAUCUGCACUAGAGACAAGGAGGGGAACAAUCUCUAUGACUUGUUCCACACGAGGUACUCUCUCCACAGAAGAGCCUACCAGCACAACGUGGUUAAGAUCAUAGAGCAUAUGAUCACAGAGGCCUUUUUAAAGGCAGACCAGCACAUCCAGAUUAAAGGCUCAGGAGGGGAGAUGUUCACCCUCUCCACAGCCAUAGCUGACAUGGAGGCCUACACCAAGCUGACAGAUUGUGUAUUUUACAAAAUACUCAACUCCACAGAGGAUACUCUCCAAAAGGCAAGGGAGAUUCUAAAAAACAUCGUCGAUCGUAAACACUACAGGUUUCUGGGUGAAAUCAAGCAUAAAGGAACCCCAACCAAGGAUGAGAUACCUCAGUUGAAAGAGGAACUGGCUGCAGCUCUCCCAUUCCCACGACAGGGAGUUCAGGCUGACGGGCUGACAAAGGAGGACUUUGUCGUUUUGUCUGCUACCAUGGACUAUGGGAGUGGGGCGGAGGACCCCAUCAAUAGUGUGGACUUCUACAGCAAGAAAAACCCUAACCAAACAUUCAAAAUCACCAGAAAAGAGGUCAACAAUGACGACGGAAAUCACAAUCUUAAUCUUUUUUUGUGUGUCCAAGCUUCUCCCAGUGCAGUUCUCUGAGACGCUCUUCAGGGUUUACGGCAAAAAAAUGGAUUCUAAAAGUCUGGAUGCUGCCAGGGGACACUUUGAACAGUUGAAUCCAGUGUGGAGCGACUCUCACGUCACAGAACCUUGAUGAAUCUGAAGUUUUGGAAAAUGGAAGUUAAACCUGAAAAAAUAAAGAAAACACUUCCUGGCACUCCACUGAUUGAAGGUGAUGAGAAAUGUGAUCAAGUGAGUAUGUGACUUAACGACUUAAAAGUGAAUGAGGAUGCAUUAUGCACAAUUGGGCCAUAUAUGCAAUUUUUAGAGCCCUGUUUAAUAUUAUACACUAAUCUAAGUGCAAAUGUGAUCAUUUUAAAUCAGCUUUAAUUAAGAAUCACUGUUUAAUACCAUAUUAUGGCUAAUUGAAAUGUAAUUUUAGGUGUGAUUUAGGGAUUUUAAAUAUUUAGUGGUGUUUGUUUAGGAUAUCCAUCGUGUGAAUUAAUGUGGUAACCUGAUUAGAUAUUCUUUUUAAUUGUAUUCAUGUUUGAUUAAAGAUUGUUUUGGGUGUAUGUCUUUGUUUUUAAUCUAUCAAUACUAAAUCAAUAUAAUUACUAUUACCAUUAUAUAUUACUAUUCAUACUGUGGUUAUACAAUAUAGCUUUCUUCCUUCAAUGUAACCAUCUGUAUGAAUGUGGGUAACUUAGGUUAUAUUUCUGUUUAUGGUCAUGGUGUGAAAAUGUUGUGAUUUGUCAUCAUGUGACUUUUGAGGAAAACCUACAACAAUGUUUCAACUUUGUUGCUGUUGAGGUUGGGUUAAUAAAAAAGUGUUUCUUCUUAAUUUGAAAUCAAUUAAA